GUUGACACCUCUCUUUAUCCUUCUGGACUCACGCUGUUUGAGUCUGUUUGCUUAUGAUUUAAAGGGAUCUCUGGAUUCGAUCUGUCAUAUUUAAUCAGAAAUCCUAUAGUUUAGACUUUUCACUAAUUCAUUUGUUCUUUCUUGAUGCCUUUUCCUCUCUACCUCCAAACAGUAGCUCUGAACUUGUAUGGUUUUACUAAAAUUCAUAUCUGUGGUUUCUGUUAAAACAGUCUUUAUGGAUUUGAUGGUGUCAAUAACUAAUAAUGGCAUCAUUACUCAUGUUUGUGAGCUUCGUACUGUGGUCCAGGUAUGGCUCUGUGCCUCACAUGCAUGAUCUCAUUUAAUCUUUGCAACCACUUUUGGACAGCACCUGCCUAGGCAGUCUGUAGCCCCUGUUUCCCAGAAACAUUUAGAAUGCCUCUGGUGAGAAGCCGUUGCCAAUCUCAACCCAGCUCUGAGUCUGGUGUUGGCCUUUAAUCUCUCAUUCUGUGUGUUGUAAAGAAACAGGUUGUGGAAGGCUCUUGUCAGAUCCCAGGAACAUGAAAGAAACGGCACACCCGAGGGUAGUGACAUGGCCCUGUCACCACCCCUCAUUGAACCAUAAAAGCUCUUCAGAGGGUCUGGCAGCUGGUGAGCGACUGUACUUAGAUCCUGGGUGCUGAUGGGUGUUUUGUAGUUUCCAAGGGAAGUUGCUGAAAGUUUUCUUAUCUUGACACUCCAAGGGCAAGAGGUCUUUCUUCAAAGGGAAGUGCUUGUUUCAGAAAGAUAUGUGGAAAGAACAUAAAAUCACCAGUUCAUCCCCAGUUCUGGAGAAGAGAUGGGAAGAAACAGUGUGGCAACCAGUGUAAACACAAGGCAUUUGCAGGAAUCUAGAAGGGGUUCCCUAAGGUUGUGAUUGGUUCCCAUAUCUGUAAUACAAAGAUUGGGGUUGAGGGGUGAGGAGGUGGGAGGGUUUCCUUUGAGUCAUUGUCCUGCAGUCUUUGAGCUGUGGCCUGGAGCAAGGGUUUUGAUAGGCAUGAUAAUGCCUACCUCAGUGGUUGGCUGUGUGCAGUAAAUUAUGUGAUGUAUAUGAAGAUACUUUCAAAAGUUCAUGGAAAGUAGAAUUAAAAGUAAGUCCUCUUUUUUCCUGGUCAAGAUUUAUUUAUUUAUUUGAAAAACAGGGUUACAGGGAGACAGGAGAGACAGAGAUCUUCUGUCCGCUGGUUCACUCCCCAAAUGGCUGUAACAGCCGGGGCUGGGCCAGGACAAAGCCAGGGGCCCAAGAACUUGGGCCAUUUUCCACUGCUUUCCCAGAAGUAUUAAUAGGGAGCUGGAUCAGAAAUGGAGCAGCUGGGACACAAACUGGCACCUCUAUGGGAUGGUGGUGUCACAGAAGGCGGCUUAACCUGCUGUAGCACAACACCGGCCCUCAAGUAAUUUUCUUUUGGUGCAAAAAAUAAUUAAAUAAAUUGAAAUCCAUGCAUAUGAAGGGUGUUCAGAAAGUUCACGGAAAAUGUAUACUACCAAAAAAUAUGCAUAGAUUUCAAAAAUUUCUUGCCCUAAAAUAAACAUCUUUUAAUUUCAUUUUCCACAAACUUUUGAAAGUCCUCUCAUGUCAGCCACUUGACCUGCUUGUAGCAGACGGUUAGGGCAUAAGAAACGACACUGGUGUUGAUAUCGCCUCCUGAAUAUCGGAUGGUGAGCAGUACUGCAGCAGCAAUCCUGGUAGCUCUCACCUCCACCCUGCCCUGGCCGUGCACACUGCUUGCGUGGGGCCAAGACUUGGAGUUCAUGCGUACGCUUUGCUGAGUGUCUGCCUUGCCUGUUCCCUUUCUCACACAAAGCAGACAGCUGAGUUCAAGCCUACAAACCGGGUCGGGAUUGCUAGGUAGAGGAACUCACCUGGGCUCUCAGCCUCUGUACGUGUGCGAGAACCACACUGGAAGAGGUGUGCAGGGCUCCCGGCCUCUGUACGUGUGCGAGAACCACACUGGAAGAGGUGUGCAGGGCUCUCGGCCUCUGUACGUGUGCGAGAACCACACUGGAAGAGGUGUGCAGGGCUCCCGGCCUCUGUACGUGUGUGAGAACCACACUGGAAGAGGUGUGCAGGGCUCCCGGCCUCUGUACAUGUGCGAGAACCACACUGGAAGAGGUGUGCAGGGCUCCCGGCCUCUGUACAUGUGCGAGAACCACACUGGAAGAGGUGUGCAGGGCUCUCGGCCUCUGUACGUGUGUGAGAACCACACUGGAAGAGGUGUGCAGGGCUCCCGGCCUCUGUACGUGUGCGAGAACCACGCUGGAAGAGGUGUGCAGAGGCCACGAACUUGCUCUGAACCCACUUGUGAAGAGCAGGUGAUCCCAAACUAUUGUUAGUGUCUGCUGUAAAUGAUAUGCCUCUGGGUUCGAGCAGAGUUCAGCCAAGAGUCCCACAUGACAUGGAAAUCUGUCCUGGAGCCAGUUUUGUCGGCUAAAAGUUAUGAAGCGAAUGUCUCCAAACACUGGCAUCUGUCGUCUGCCGAGGGGCAGCCGGCCGAGAACGAUGGCCUGCGGAAAUCGGGAUGGGGCAUGUGGCCCUGUGACAGCUGACAGGCCUUUUCAGCUACUGUUGCUCGUCCAGCUUUCUGAUAAACAGCUCUGACAGCAUUACGUGGUUUGGAAAGCGUUCUUCAAAGACGGGCGUGUUUUCCCGGCGCAUGACAGUCGGCGCUAGUGUUGUUUGAGGGGUUUGAGUUGUAGAAUCGAAUUCCUCUUUCCUUUCCAGCGGGGCUGCUCUAAGUGCCGAGAGCUUACCUGUCCGACUCCUGCCAGGACGGUCCCACGAUGUUAUCACGAUGGUCGGUCGGGGUCCCCUGUGUCUUCAAAAACAAAAACAAAACAUAGAAAAAAAACCCUUGAAUUAAAGGCCAAGAGUUCAAGAGGAAAAACCGUCUGUGAUUUCUGGCUCAGUGUGGUGUGCGCGGGUGAUGCUUUCCUCAUGCACCCUCUGUCUCGUGACCUCUGCAUAGUGCAAGUGGAGAGGAAAGUUUGGAUUCUUGUAAUGCUUUGAGCUUUGAAAGCGAACUUCCUCCAGAUAAGAAGUGUUCAUUUCCUAGUUCGUUGCAAGCCUCGUCGUCCCUCUUGUCCUGCUCCCAGAAAUGUGACUUCUGGUGCCUUUUGACCUUCCUAGGAAAUUCUCAGUGUCACUGGGGAAGGGAGGUUGCUCUCGGGGGAAUAGCAUUCAGACCACGAAUUUCAUUUAGGAUUUAGACUAAUCCAGACAAUAUCGUAAGUACAAAGUGUUUUAGUAAUGGAUUUUUUUUUUCUGCUUGAGAGGCAGAGAGAUACAAAUAGAGAAGGCUCCUAUUUGCUGGCCUACUCCCCAAGUACCUGCAACAGCUAGAGCGAGGCGAGCUCAGAGCCCAGAGCCGGGAGCUCAACUUCUUGAAUCAUCACCACUGCAUCCAAGGGUUUCCAUUAUUAAGAACCUGUAGUCAGGAACCCAAGGCCAAUAGCAAACACAGGCACUCCCGUUUAACCAGCCUUGCAGUUGCUAGGCUAAAUGACUGCUCUUAGUGACAGAUUUUUUUAAAGCUGUUCUUAAUUCUAAUACACUAUUUUUUUAAAUUUCAUGGUAGGAGUCAUGAGAUUUUAAUCUUACUCCCAGAAUGCAGUGGUGGAGCUAACAGUCGCGUGGAACAUCAUUCUGUUUUACUGUGGUGCAGUGACAGCAGUUCACAUUCUUUUACUUUGUCAGUGUAGGAUCAGUCCCUCCUUGCCUCAAAUCUCUGUAAUCAAAAUAACCUGUCUGGGUGUUCCCUUUGGGUCCGGGAGGCGGCCUGACCUCCUGACAAGAGACUGAGAGUGCGUGCAAACCAUGAGCGCAGAACUCCAGUUCCAACACCAACAGUGCUCUGCUCUGUGGUCUUCUGCAGAUAGCUUUUAGCCUCUCCUCUCUAGCUAAGGGGAGAGGGUCGUCCUUGCCUGGUAAUCUGCGUGUGGCUGAGAUGAACAGAUGAACUGUUUGUGUGACUCCCUGGAAGAGUGACACGGAGGGGCCUCCCCGCCUAGGAGGGAGCAAACUGGACAUUGGCAUGAGAAAGCCCGGACAGGGCAAAUGGAACUUAGAAUAUUUACUAAGAAUAGGAAGGCACUGGUGUAGUGUGUUCCUUCGCAGCCUGUGGGUCUAGGCCUGUCCCCAGCUGGGCAAUUGCUUACCUGAGUGCUCCCCAUGGGUUGAGUCUGUGGCCAAGUCUGCCUUGUCAGCCUUCAGCCCUCCCUGUGACUUCACCUCCGAGGAGACUGCAGAGCAGCCCCCGACGUAGCAGGCUGGGUCACGUGGCUGGAGAAUAUCAGGCCCUCCUACAUACAGAUUUAAGCCCAGGGAACCUGUUGGGAGAGGGCCACUUCCCCUAUACUCAGUCCUUGUGGGACUACUUGAAGUGUUGACAGUGUCCUUUAGCUCAUAGUCAAGAAAUCAAUGUUUAAACAAACAAAAACCACCUUUGAUAACAGAGGUAUUUUGUGUAAGAAGGGAUGUGUAUGUUGUGAGAAAGCAAAUUCUAAACCAUAUUUCCCUUUCAUCCCCAAACCUAUCAGAUUAGUACUUCCUACCCUGCCCACAGUGCUGGAGUGACGUUGGGUAGAUCCCGGAAAAGCAGUCCGCAAAGCACGCGGGAGAGCAGCGCGCACGGUGGUGAGUGUGCUGACGGCAGCCGCUCUCAGUGUGUGUGUGGCUUGCUGCAUCCUGUUUUUAAGUAACUCAUGCUCCUGCAUUUUCAGUUUGGCCUCCUUGUUUUACUUAUGAUUAUAUGUUCCUAGAAUAUUGUCAUAAAAGCGAUCCUAAGAUAGAAAAGUCCAACAGGAAGUGGGGGCAUUGAGGUCACUGUUUCUAAAUUCUCAAACUCUGUUUUGGCCCACGACAGAAUCUCAUUCCCAGGGGUAGGUCCAAAUAUAUCAAAGACUCUCGCUGCAUCUGGG